GCCGUCUAGCCCUCGCCGGGGCUGGGCCGCGGCUCCUGCGGGCGGAAGGGGCCGGGCCGGCGGGAGGAGAGCGAGGCGGGGGCCGGCGGGCGGCGCCGCGCGAAGGGACCGAAGUACUCGGCGGCGAAGCCAGAGGCUUCACUCACCUACCUCCCUCGUGAUGGGCAUCUUGGUGACCAUGCAGUACCCCGGGGAGCCCACCUGGACUCUCUUGGCCAGAUGUCUGGAGUGCAACACAGAAGCUACUGGGUGCUGUUCAUCCCCCUGGAGAUGCAUAUGGAUGUUCUAGGGCCGGCCUGAGAUCCUAGAGGCGAAAGCACUAAAAAAAUUGUGAGCCUCUUGCUGUGUGACACUCAAAGUAGAAACAAGUCAACAAGUUAUGAAAUAAGGAGCACCAACAAUGUUCUGAUUACCUUUCUUCCAGUGUAAUGAUUAUGUCAAUAGCUCUUCAGAAAUUUCAACAAAUUCUUCUCCUCUCCCUCCCAGAUUUUCUCAUGAUUUGGUACCUGUGCUUUGCUGGUGACCGCUUGGCACUGUGCUUCUCCCAGUCCACUGAUUUUUAUCAAGUGUCCAAUUGUUCAAACCUUGGUGUUUUGCAGCAUUACACCCAACACCUGUGGCAACUGCUUUAGCUAAGCCUUAGGCCCUGUGGAGUUGGCGUUGACUUCCCCAGCCCUUUAGGAUUCUUUGGUGUGGUUUGGGAGGAUCAGGAGAAUAAGUGAAUCAAUGAAGAAAGGGUGAUUGGGGUGGACAAAGCAAGGGGCCAUCAGAUCUCAACAGCAGCUCUUCCUUGUGGUAUCCCCAGCAACCGCUGUCUCCUUUUACUCAACACUGCCCCCUGGGCCCCACCAUCAGGAGCGCUCACCCAUCAGAGAGCAGGAAGAACUGGCAGGACAUGGGGAUGCCCGCAGUGGAGUGAACAGUCUGCUCCACAAUGAACACUUUCACCUGCUGACGGUCCACCUGGAUUGUCUGGAAGCCUAGGCCUUCCUGGCAGCCACCAAAAUGGAGGAAGGAGGUGAGGUGAAUGUCCGCCAGGUUCUCACUCCAAAUUCUCCCCCAGUCCUUUUCUCCAUCCUGCACCUUCAUUCCUUGUUCACCAGUGAUAAGCAACCCUUGGAUGUCCAGAGCCUUGGGCGCCACGAGAUUUGAGUUGGGGGGCCCCUCAUAAGGAGCCAAGUUUGCCCUUCUUCUGCGCCAACCUCUCCCCAACCCAUCUCCACAACCAUGUGCUUCUAGUUGGUGGAUUCUGUUUCAUGGAUGAGGAUCAACCAGUUAGGGGUGAGUGGGAAGAGGGUUGGGGGGCUGGGCUGUCUGGGGGAGGUGUCAGGUACUGAGGAGUGACAGGUUGGGGUUUGUGGCCGCUCAGGCCCACGCUGCUGCAGGCAGAGGGCCAUGUUGUAAUUAAACUCCUGUCUGGUGGCCGGCCAUCGGGAGAAAGGUGCUAACACAGAAUGUGUGCUUCAAAUGAAAUGGGGGAACUUGGCAUAGGCCUGUAUGUGUCACACACAUCACUCUGUCAUAUUUGUGUAUUGUGUCAUUUACAGUCAAAUCUGUGCCCAAAGUGUGUGUUCAGUAGUGCAGCUUUGAAAUCACAUAUUGCAAGAAGUCCUAGCCUAGGUAUGUUGAUAAUGACAUUUUCUCCAAAAAAAAAUAAUAAAACAACAAAAAACACCCUUCAGGGUUGAGACAUAAUAAAAGAAUAUCUGUGUGUAGUUGGAGAUGUUGUAUUUCCUGAUGUUAAAAACUGUGUCUUUAAAAGCAGACCUCUGCUAUGUUUAUUUUUCCUAUGUGCCAAAAGCAUUGCUUCCGUCACUUCUCACCCCUCUCAUCCCAUCUGCUGCACACCUGAUCUAGCAAUGCAGCCUAUCUUCUCCUGCUCAUGAAAGCCCUCUCAUCACGACCGAUUUUAUCCCCACCCACCGCACUCCCUCUUCUACUGCACGACUGUCUUUUCUCCCAACCAGCCACCUUCACGCCCUUCUAGUUUGCCCCUG